CUCUUUAGUGGCCUAGUGGUUAGAGCAUCUGCCUCAAAUGCAGGAGGUCGUAGGUUUGAACCUCUGCCAAGUCAUACCAAAGACA